AAUCUCAAAAACACAAAUCAAGCAAUCACUUUAAUUUGUUACUUUUUAUAAAAGAAGAAUGAAUAAAGUUUUUUACCUGUUAGAUGCCGAUCAAAACACAUCAAGAAAGAAUAACCCUAAAAAUCUCAAAAACACAAAUCAAGCAAUCACUUUAAUUUGUUACUUUUUAUAAAAGAAGAAUGAAUAAAGUUUUUUACCUGUUAGAUGCCGAUCACUUUAAUCUGUUCCGAAUCCGGUGCCGAUAGCAAACCCAUAUGAGAAAGAAAGGAAAGGUAUGAGUUUUUUACCUUAUCUGUAUUUUAACCUAACUUUGAAUGAAAAAGAAAAAAUAAAAAAUAAUUUUAAUUUAAAAUAAGGAUGUUUUAGUAAUUUAAUAUAUAUGAAUUAAAA
rnacentral:lncRNA from 1 species